GAAAUAUCCAAAAAUAAGCUUCUAACUUAAUUUUAAAGCAUAAUAUGUUUAUAUUUCU
rnacentral:tRNA from 1 species